rnacentral:tRNA from 1 species
GAGGGUAUAGCUCAGUGGUUAGAGCACAUGCUUAGUGUGCACAAGGUCCUGGGUUCAAUCCCCGGUACCUCCA